UACCAGUUAGAAAUGACUGCUAGUCCGGCAUAAGCGCACAGUACCGCAUGGUAUAGUGUGAAAAACUCCGGUGGUGUGAGAUGGAUCCGCGUCUGAUUAGGUAGUUGGUGAGGUAACGGCCCACCAAGCCGACGAUCAGUAGCCGACCUGAGAGGGUGACCGGCCACAUUGGGACUGAGACACGGCCCAAACUCCUACGGGAGGCAGCAGUGGGGAAUAUUGCACAAUGGGCGAAAGCCUGAUGCAGCAACGCCGCGUGAGUGAAGAAGUAUCUCGGUAUGUAAAGCUCUGUCAGCAGGGAAGAAAAUGACGGUACCUGACUAAGAAGCCCCGGCUAACUACGUGCCAGCAGCCGCGGUAAUACGUAGGGGGCAAGCGUUAUCCGGAUUUACUGGGUGUAAAGGGAGCGCAGACGGCACUGCAAGUCUGAAGUGAAAGCCCGGGGCUCAACCCCGGGACUGCUUUGGAAACUGUAGAGCUAGAGUGCUGGAGAGGCAAGCGGAAUUCCUAGUGUAGCGGUGAAAUGCGUAGAUAUUAGGAAGAACACCAGUGGCGAAGGCGGCUUGCUGGACAGUAACUGACGUUCAGGCUCGAAAGCGUGGGGAGCAAACAGGAUUAGAUACCCUGGUAGUCCACGCCGU
rnacentral:rRNA from 1 species